rnacentral:pre_miRNA from 1 species
UUUUUAGCAUAAGUUUAUCCCAUGCAACAUUAGGGACAUAUUUAUACUAAAA